rnacentral:lncRNA from 1 species
UGAUGCUCAGUUUCCAUUGCAAACAAUGCUAUCAUGCCUUGGCAAUGUUAUCCUACUUCUAAUUCAGAGUGAUGGAUCUGGGGAAAUGGAGUCUUUUCCCCCUGGCAGACUCCCAUAUUUUUUUGGUAAGGGUUCUCACCCCAGAAGAAUUUUGAUUGUCUGCCACCAAUCAGGCUGAAGCUCUCCCCAAGUCCAGCUGCUUCUAAGCCUUAUGGACCUAAUGCCCCUGCUGUCGGGAAACGAAAUAAAAACAAAGCAACAUCAGUUUCAUUUUCCCAAAGCACAGAAGAUACACAAUCUGCAGUCCCAGCACAUGGGGAAACUUUUAGUGAGAAAUACCUUUUUAAACCAAAUGUCAAAGUAGAUAAAGAAAGUUUAGUUGGGGAAAGGAAGGGAGGGAAGGAAGGCAGAAAACAAAUUGCUCACAGACUGUCAAAAUUAAAUUGAAAAAGUCAAUCUAACUUGGCUAACAAGGCUUCUCAUCUGGAUCCAUUUCUAGGUGUUUAUUCUGGGAUUGCCACUCCUUGUUCACUCACUUUUAACAGGGCAUCUACCUGACAUCUCCAUCCACUCAUUCAUUGCUCUCUUGUGUUUGUUAAUCAAAUAUGGCAAGGCUCAACCUUCGAAAACCUCCUCCUAACAACAAAGGGAAACGGUAAAGGGACGGUAUCUGCAAUAUACAAAAUACUACUCCAAAAUCCCGCAAAUCCCCUAGACGCAAUCAAAAAACAAUGGGAGAAUGACAUAGGCUAUGAGAUUAACCCCACUCAAUGGACCAGAAUGUGGUCUAAACCUCCCUUUAAAUCCAUAUCAACGAAAAGAAAAGAACUCACACUGAAACUCACCUACAGGUGGUACCUAACACCAAGGAAACUAGCGCUAAUACACCCAGGAACCUCACCAAAAUGCUGGAGAGGGUGCACCUCCACAUGCACAUACCUCCACAUGUGGUGGGAGUGUCCCAAAACCCAACUAUUCUGGACAAAAACCAUACAAGAAGUAUGUAAAAUAACUAAGCAAGUAAUAGACAUCACCCCAGAAUUGGCCCUACUAAACAUCUUCCAAGACAACAAUGCCCAUUUACACCACAAAGAACUCAUAACCCACCUGCUCUCAGCAGCCAGAAACACCAUAACCAGACACUGGAGAGACCUGACACGGGGACAAACAGAAGAAGACGCCUUCACCCCGGUAUGGCUCCCCUUUAUCACAUACACAGCCCAACAGGACAAUGACAAUAAUCCACCAACAGCAUACAAAUCAAUAUGGCUAACCUGAUCCAAAACACCCACCCACCUCACUCACACACAGCCAAUCACAGAUCACCACAGCCAAUCACAAGCAAACAAUCACACCCUAGGCCAACCCCAACCUCUCUCACCACCAAAGGAACACAAGUGAACAACACAAGCAACGCUGACACCAAACUCUACAUACAUUAAACAUAAUAGAAACACUGCCGCCCGACCCCACCCCCAUCCAUCUUCCCUCUCUCCACCCCCCCUUUCUUUUUUCUUUUUCUUUUUUCUUCUUCCUAAUGCCUCAACAAAUGAAACGGAUUUGGAAAAAUGUUACAUGAAAAAAAAAAUACGAGGCACUACACUUCUGUAAAACAAGAAAAUCCUUAAUAAAAUAUUUAAAAAUAUAUAUAUAUAUGGCAAGGCUUGAUUCUUCAGGCUAAAGCAGCUGGCCCCUCUCACCUUAAAGGGAGCCGAGCAAAGGACAUUUCACUGAACACCUUGAAAGGGCAUAUCAUUAUUUCUUUGUAUGGCCAAAACCAAAUCUAGUACUUCUAUGAAGGCAGAGGCUCUCCAGCAUUUCAGGCAGGGGGAUUCCCCAGCCCAGCCUAGAGACACCAGGGAUUGAUUCUGCAUGCAAAUGACGCAUUUCUAAUGGUGAUGGUAGAAACAUUAAAGGAGACCAGCUCUCAGAUUAAAGCUGCAAUCCUAUGCACCAUUUUGAAAACUGGCCUUACUUCCAAGUAUGCACAUAAAGGGCUGCAAUGUCAUUUGCCUGCAUUUCUUUGCAUUAAAAAAAAGUGGAAAGGCUGGAGAGGAAAGGCAGGAAAUGUUUUUUAAAAGCUGUAAGCAUUUACAAGAUCUGAGAGCGGAAGGUAUACUUCCAUCAUACACAGAGGUUCCAUUUGGCAUGUCAGAACAUAAGAAGAGUCUGCGGUGAUCCUCAGAUGAAGGACAGGAUAG